rnacentral:rRNA from 1 species
GACGAACGCUGGCGGCGUGCCUAAUACAUGCAAGUCGAGCGAAGUUUUUCUGGUGUUUGCACUAGAAAAACUUAGCGGCGAACGGGUGAGUAACACGUAAAGAACCUGCCUCAUAGACGGGGACAACUAUUGGAAACGAUAGCUAAUACCGGAUAACAGCAUAAAUCGCAUGAUAUAUGUUUAAAAGUUGGUUUCGGCUAACACUAUGAGAUGGCUUUGCGGUGCAUUAGCUAGUUGGUGGGGUAAAGGCCUACCAAGGCGACGAUGCAUAGCCGACCUGAGAGGGUGAUCGGCCACACUGGGACUGAGACACGGCCCAGACUCCUACGGGAGGCAGCAGUAGGGAAUCUUCCGCAAUGGGCGAAAGCCUGACGGAGCAACGCCGCGUGAGUGAAGAAGGAUUUCGGUUCGUAAAGCUCUGUUGUUAGGGAAGAAUGAUUGUAUAGUAACUAUAUACAGUAGAGACGGUACCUAACCAGAAAGCCACGGCUAACUACGUGCCAGCAGCCGCGGUAAUACGUAGGUGGCAAGCGUUGUCCGGAAUUAUUGGGCGUAAAGCGCGCGCAGGUGGUUUAAUAAGUCUGAUGUGAAAGCCCACGGCUCAACCGUGGAGGGUCAUUGGAAACUGUUAAACUUGAGUGCAGGAGAGAAAAGUGGAAUUCCUAGUGUAGCGGUGAAAUGCGUAGAGAUUAGGAGGAACACCAGUGGCGAAGGCGGCUUUUUGGCCUGUAACUGACACUGAGGCGCGAAAGCGUGGGGAGCAAACAGG